rfam:Schistosoma mansoni strain Puerto Rico chromosome W, complete genome
ACAAAGGUUCUUCUUAGAACUAUCAUAUGUUUAUAAAUACUAUUUUU